AUUGAACGCUGGCGGCAGGCCUAACUCAUGCAAGUCGAACGGUAACAGGAAACAGCUUGCUGUUUCGCUGACGAGUGGCGGACGGGUGAGUAAUGUCUGGGAAACUGCCUGAUGGAGGGGGAUAACUACUGGAAACGGUAGCUAAUACCGCAUAACGUCGCAAGACCAAAGAGGGGGACCUUCGGGCCUCUUGCCAUCGGAUGUGCCCAGAUGGGAUUAGCUAGUAGGUGGGGUAACGGCUCACCUAGGCGACGAUCCCUAGCUGGUCUGGGGGGAUGACCAGCGACACUGGAACUGAGACACGGUCCAGACUCCUACGGGGGGCGGCAGUGGGGAAUAUUGCACAAUGGGCGCAAGCCUGAUGCAGCCAUGCGGCGUGUAUGAAGAAGGCCUUCGGGUUGUAAAGUACUUUCAGCGGGGAGGAAGGGAGUAAAGUUAAUACCUUUGCUCAUUGACGUUACCCGCAGAAGAAGCACCGGCUAACUCCGUGCCAGCCGCCGCCGUAA
rnacentral:rRNA from 1 species